rnacentral:lncRNA from 1 species
AAAGCCUCAUCAAGUUACUCAGAAACCAGAACCAUCAGUGCCACAAGCUGAAUCAGCUAAGCAGGCUGCAGAUUCUACUCCAGUAGUUCCUCCCCCUAAAGUUGAUUAUGCUACUGAUCUUUUUAACAUGCUUUCUAUGGAUGAUCCUACUGAAAAUGGCUCAGAGGCAGCCUCUGCUGAUGAUAAUGCAUGGGCUGGUUUCCAGUGUAUGUCUUAAAUCUCCUUUUCCCCUUCACAAUUUUUCUUCUGUUUUUUUUUGCUUUAUUUAUACCUUUUCUUUUUGUUUCUUAAAAAUUAUAAUGGCAAUAGUUUCUUGUUAAAAUUGUUAUAUGAUGGUUCAGCUAAUAUUGCCAUUGAUUUUGACGCUUAACAACUUGCAGCUGCUGAACAAACUUCAACAGCUGAGAAAACUGCUCCUGCAAAACCAAUUGAAGGUAAUACCCAGUCCACUUCUGGAAUUGAGGAUCUAUUUAAAGAUUCACCUUCAAUCAUGCCAGCUGC